rnacentral:rRNA from 1 species
GACGAACGCUGGCGGCAUGCCUAACACAUGCAAGUCGAACGGAGUUAAGCCCGACACCGAACAUUCAGUUCGGCGAGGGGCGGGAAGCGAAAGCAGGCGAAGCCUGCUGAAGCGAAAAAAAGCCCGCACAACACAGAUGGGGCUGAGUAGUCGGUGUUGGACUUAACUUAGUGGCGGACGGGUGAGUAACGCGUGAGUAACCUGCCUUUCAGAGGGGGAUAACGUCCUGAAAAGGACGCUAAUACCGCAUGACAUAUCGAGGCCGCAUGGCCAUGAUAUCAAAGGAGCAAUCCGCUGAGAGAUGGACUCGCGUCCGAUUAGCCAGUUGGCGGGGCAACGGCCCACCAAAGCGACGAUCGGUAGCCGGGUUGAGAGACUGAACGGCACAUUGGGACUGAGACACGGCCCAGACUCCUACGGGAGGCAGCAGUGGGGGAUAUUGCACAAUGGAGGAAACUCUGAUGCAGCAAUGCCGCGUGAGGGAAGACGGUUUUCGGAUUGUAAACCUCUGUCCUUGGUGACGAUAAUGACGGUAGCCGAGGAGGAAGCUCCGGCUAACUACGUGCCGGCAGCCGCGGUAAUACGUAGGGAGCAAGCGUUGUCCGGAUUUACUGGGUGUAAAGGGUGCGUAGGCGGCUCUGUAAGUCGGGCGUGAAAGGUGUGGGCUUAACUCACAAACUGCGUUCG